rnacentral:rRNA from 1 species
AUUGAACGCUGGCGGCAGGCCUAACACAUGCAAGUCGAACGGUAGCACAGAGAGCUUGCUCUCGGGUGACGAGUGGCGGACGGGUGAGUAACGUCUGGGAAACUGCCCGAUGGAGGGGGAUAACUACUGGAAACGGUAGCUAAUACCGCAUAACGUCGCAAGACCAAAGUGGGGGACCUUCGGGCCUCACACCAUCGGAUGUGCCCAGAUGGGAUUAACUAGUAGGUGGGGUAAUGGCUCACCUAGGUGACGAUCCCUAGCUGGUCUGAGAGGAUGACCAGCCACACUGGAACUGAGACACGGUCCAGACUCCUACGGGAGGCAGCAGUGGGGAAUAUUGCACAAUGGGCGCAAGCCUGAUGCAGCCAUGCCGCGUGUAUGAAGAAGGCCUUCGGGUUGUAAAGUACUUUCAGCGGGGAGGAAGGCGGUGGAGUUAAUAACUUCACCGAUUGACGUUACCCGCAGAAGAAGCACCGGCUAACUCCGUGCCAGCAGCCGCCGUAA